GCAUGCCCUCGGUGUACUUCAUCGGUGAUUGGUUCAACUCGGAGAGCAUAAACACAACAAAUGCCACCUUAAAAAAUCCCAGAAACCUCAGAGAAGACUGACGAGGAAGCGCAGGUACUGCUUUUGCUCUUGAAAACGGGCCUGAAAGACGCCGUUAGGGGAGGAUCUCACACGCAAAGCUGCAGGCUGCCGAAAACUGCCUCGCAGUGGAAGAUGACCACGACGCGACCGCAAAGUCUGUGCAUGUAGCUGCUGGAGCACAGACGGUAAAUGUUAAAACAAAGAAGAAAUCCAGCUUUCAAAGCUCCUCACGCACAGACAACAUACAUGUCCAGCUUCGUGGGGGAGGAAGACGAAGAAGACAAGGGAGGGAGAGAGACACUCCUCCCCCCGGGACAUCCCGGCAUCCGACAAGAAUAAUCAUAUUUUAUUAUAUGAUACAAAAUCAAAGCCUCGACAGACCCUACAUUAAUCAUCAGAUGAAGUCACGAAGCAGAGUUGAGUUCCUCUUGUAUUUUUAAGUGUUCGGCGUUGUUGAAGUAUUUAAAUACAGAAAAAUGGGACGUGGUGAGGUGACAUGUUACCCGCUGAGGACCAAACAAGGUAACAGAGACAACACGGAAAAGAGGACGGGACAGCGAAAUGACCAAGACACAGUGUCAUCAAAGCCUGGUCAUCCGCCAACAAUAACGUUUAACGACGCCGAUCCAUCCCUGGACAACUCCACAUCAUCCCAUCAGGAAUCAGCUGCACCCAAUCAUUGGUUACUUCAGUCACAUCUUUGCCCGUCUCCAGCUUGGUGUUACAUUCCAGAGGCUUCUCAAUCACAUUCCCUGCUUUAUCACCCCUUUGACUUUUAUAGUUCAUUAAAUAUUAAAGUUAAAGUUUCUUAAAUAAGUGAGUGGUUGACCCCAUAAACUGAUCUGCACAGUUCGUGCUGAGGUCACAAAGCGAAGAAGUGAGCGGUCGCAGAGUCGCUGUGCAGUUUCAGAGCAGGAAGCUAGAUAUGUAUCUUAAACCACUGAUGUUACAAGAAGCAACUAACAGCAAACUGAGCCUUACAGGUGCAAGAGAGAUGCUGAUGAACCUCCACCCUUCACGGAGUCUCUGUAGGUGGUCAGUAUUCCUGCGGACGGUGCAUCAGCACUCCGAUGCCAAGAGACGCAGCCGGCGUCUGAGAAAACAUCUGCCAGCCCCACUUACCGAAGACAUGUGUCGAUCCAGAGACCCGUAAUUGGAUCAACCUGAGAUACAUAUCACAUGUUAAAUUUUAAUCACUGGCACCACCUUAAAACACCUCCACAAACACGCAUGUCUCAGCAUUUGUAAUGAAAACAAAGAAAAUCCUCCGUGCAUCACCGCUAAUGGCCGGGCCUUUGCACCAAAGUCCCGCCCCCUGUGGCAUCUCACUGAUAGAUACAGGAAAUGACCCCAACCCUAACCUGCGCAUGUUUUAAAUGUUGGUUUGUUUCCUUUAUAACUAAGUGUGAGCUCGAGGGCGGGGUCUGGAGGUGUUCACUGUGCAGUGCAGACGGUUCUUUAUCACUGAACUCCUCCGUGUCUAAUCAUCAGAUAGUUUCAUGAUCUCUUUGGCAGCAAGACGUGAUCCACAUCCACCAACCGGCUGCUUUGGCUCUUCUCCCUGUACCUGUGCUGGUACAGGUUUACCUGGUUUAACUCAUCUGAUAAACUGAUGAUUCUGACUGGCUGUAUGUGUGAGAGUGGAUCCAGUUUCCUGUUACUCUGCGUUAGUCCUGUGAUGGCCUGGUGACCUGUUCAGGUGCAUCCCGCCUCUGAUUCAAGCCCUAACCACGAACAGGAUGAAGCGGCUUUAAAAAUGGGUGAAUAAUUACGUUCAUAAUGAUCCACUGAGGAGGACACAAAUUGUCCCAGAAAAAAGGGAAUCAGGACCUCUUUGUCCGUCUGUAAUUUCCAAAUUAGUUGCCGGUCAGGUGUCAGAAAUUCUGUCCUGAUUUUCUCAAGGUGACAUCUUUAAAUAUCCACAAAUUAUCCUCACGAACUUUAAUUUAACAAAAAGGGAAAAUGAUGAAUGAAUUAAUCUCCAGUCUGAUUAAUCUGUGUUUCCGGUCUCUGAUUUGGAGCACAGUCUGAGUAACUUUGUUGCCGAGCGACUCCGAUCAGCAUCUUCUCGAUCUGAAAACAACAAAUUAAACCUGCUUUGUUUUAUGUUAAACUCAAACUGUACGAGCUCUCGGGUAAC
rnacentral:lncRNA from 1 species